rnacentral:rRNA from 1 species
UACGUAGGGUGCAAGCGUUAAUCGGAAUUACUGGGCGUAAAGCGUGCGCAGGCGGUUUUGUAAGACAGAUGUGAAAUGCCCGGGCUUAACCUGGGAACUGCAUUUGUGACUGCAAGGCUAGAGUGUGUCAGAGGGGGUAGAAUUCCACGUGUAGCAGUGAAAUGCGUAGAUAUGUGGAGGAAUACCGAUGGCGAAGGCAGCCCCCUGGGAUAACACUGACGCUCAUGCACGAA